rnacentral:piRNA from 1 species
UACUGACCUACUGGAGAGAAAAAGCA